CCUUUCAUCCUUUCGGGGUUGAUAAGCACUGGUUCUUGUCCGAUCACUGAAGUUAAGCAACGUCCAGCCUAGUGAGUAUUUAGAUGGGUGACCCCUUGGGAAACCUAGGUGCUGUAAGAG
rnacentral:rRNA from 1 species